rnacentral:lncRNA from 1 species
AUGUCUGUUUUGGAGGAGAACCCAGGUAUGAAAAUGGACUGUGAAGACUGGGAAAGAUAUGAGCCUCAGUGCUCCUCAGAAGACCCAGACAGAGAUGCCUUGGAGCCAGGCCCCAGCCUCACCUCUGUGAGUUCUGCCCAUGCAGGUCCAAGAGUGAAGCCCAAAGGCCCGGAGAAAUUCAUCAUCCAUGACAGGGAUCAAAAAGUUUUGGUCCUGGACUCCAAGAUCCUCAGAGCAGUUCCAGAUAGGACUUACAUAGUCCCAGAAAUCUUCUUUGUAUUAGCCUCCCGUGUGAUGUCAGCUCAUGAGAACAAAGGAAGCCCCAUUCUUCUAGCCGUCUCUAAAGGCGAGCUGUGUCUCUACUGUGACAAAAACAAAGGACACAACAAGCCAUCCCUGCAGCUGAAGAAGAAGAAACUUUCCACACUGGCUGCCCAGGAGAAAGGGAAAUGUCUGCCCUACAUCUUUUAUCGGAAUAAAGUCAGCUCUCGGAAUACCUUAGAGUCGGCUGCCCACCCUGGAUGGUUUAUCUGCACCUUCCGCUAUCCUGGGAAACCAGUUGGAAUGACAAAAUGUCACGGAGAAAGGAAACACACUGAGUUUUCAUUUCGGCAGAUCUAUGAAGCUGAAACGAGCCCCAGUGAAGUCAGUGAAUAA